GGGAACUCAAAGGAGACUGCCAGUGAUAAACUGGAGGAAGGUGGGGAUGACGUCAAGUCAUCAUGGCCCUUACGACCAGGGCUACACACGUGCUACAAUGGCGCAUACAAAGAGAAGCGACCUCGCGAGAGCAAGCGGACCUCAUAAAGUGCGUCGUAGUCCGGAUUGGAGUCUGCAACUCGACUCCAUGAAGUCGGAAUCGCUAGUAAUCGUGGAUCAGAAUGCCACGGUGAAUACGUUCCCGGGCCUUGUACACACCGCCCGUCACACCAUGGGAGUGGGUUGCAAAAGAAGUAGGUAGCUUAACCUUCGGGAGGGCGCUUACCACUUUGUGAUUCAUGACUGGGGUGAAGUCGUAACAAGGUAACCGUAGGGGAACCUGCGGUUGGAUCACCUCCUUACCUUAAAGAAGC
rnacentral:rRNA from 4 species